rnacentral:ncRNA from 1 species
CGGGGUGCUGCCGGACAUGGGGUCCGGGUGCUGAGAUGAGACCCGUGAACUUGACCAGGGUAAUGCCUGCGAAGGGAAGAAGCA